rnacentral:rRNA from 1 species
UACGUAGGGUCCGAGCGUUGUCCGGAAUUACUGGGCGUAAAGAGCUCGUGGGUGGUUUGUCGCGUUGUUCGUGAAAACUCACAGCUCAACUGUGGGCGUGCGGGCGAGACGGGCAGACUAGAGUACUGCAGGGGAGACUGGAAUUCCUGGUGUAGCGGUGGAAUGCGCAGAUAUCAGGAGGAACACCGGUGGCGAAGGCGGGUCUCUGGGACGGUACUGACGCUGAGACGCGAAAGCGUGGGGAGCGAACAGG